rnacentral:tRNA from 1 species
GGCGAGAUGGCCGAGCGGUCUAAGGCGCUAGAAUCAGGUCGGAACUAUCUGUCCAAUCUGCCUAUCUAGUCCGAAAGGGCGUGGGUUCGAAUCCCACUCUCGUCA